rnacentral:tRNA from 2 species
AGAGCCGUGCCUGAAUUAAAGGACUACUUUGAUAGAGUAAAUCAUGGGGGUUAAAAUCCCCCCAGCUCUC